rnacentral:rRNA from 1 species
CAGCCGCCGCGGUAAUACAGAGGGUGCGAGCGUUAAUCGGAUUUACUGGGCGUAAAGCGUGCGUAGGUGGUUUGGUAAGAUGGAUGUGAAAUCCCCGGGCUCAACCUGGGAACUGCAUCCAUAACUGCCUGACUAGAGUACGGUAGAGGGUGGUGGAAUUUCCUGUGUAGCGGUGAAAUGCGUAGAUAUAGGAAGGAACACCAGUGGCGAAGGCGACCACCUGGACUGAUACUGACACUGAGGUGCGAAAGCGUGGGGAGCAAACAGGAUUAGAGACCCGAGUAGUCCCUGUCUCUUAUAC